rnacentral:rRNA from 1 species
GAUGAACGCUGGCGGCGUGCCUAAUACAUGCCAGUCGAGCGAACAGACGAGGAGCUUGCUCCUCUGACGUUAGCGGCGGACGGGUGAGUAACACGUGGAUAACCUACCUAUAAGACUGGGAUAACUUCGGGAAACCGGAGCUAAUACCGGAUAAUAUAUUGAACCGCAUGGUUCAAUAGUGAAAGACGGUUUUGCUGUCACUUAUAGAUGGAUCCGCGCCGCAUUAGCUAGUUGGUAAGGUAACGGCUUACCAAGGCAACGAUGCGUAGCCGACCUGAGAGGGUGAUCGGCCACACUGGAACUGAGACACGGUCCAGACUCCUACGGGAGGCAGCAGUAGGGAAUCUUCCGCAAUGGGCGAAAGCUUGACGGAGCAACGCCGCGUGAGUGAUGAAGGUCUUCGGAUCGUAAAACUCUGUUAUUAGGGAAGAACAAUUGUGUAAGUAACUAUGCACGUCUUGACGGUACCUAAUCAGAAAGCCACGGCUAACUACGUG